GUCCACGCCCUAAACGAUGGGCACUAGGUGUGGGAGGUAUCGACCCCUCCCGUGCCGCAGCUAACGCAUUAAGUGCCCCGCCUGGGGAGUACGGUCGCAAGAUUAAAAACUCAAAGGAAUUGACGGGGCCCGCACAAGCGGUGGAGCAUGUGGUUUAAUUCGACGCAACGCGAAGAACCUUACCUGGGCUUGACAUCCCUGGAACCCCUGUGAAAAGCAGGGGGUGCCUAGAAAUAGGAGCCAGGAGACAGGUGCUGCAUGGCUGUCGU
rnacentral:rRNA from 1 species